UAUCUUAUAGUUCAAUGGUUAGAACAUUACUCUUCUAAAGUAAUUAUUUGGGUUCGAUUCCUAAUAAGAUAA
rnacentral:tRNA from 1 species